rnacentral:rRNA from 1 species
GAUGAACGCUGGCGGCGUGCCUAAUACAUGCAAGUCGAGCGAACGGACGAGGAGCUUGCUUUUCUGAUGUUAGCGGCGGACGGGUGAGUAACACGUGGAUAACCUACCUAUAAGACUGGGAUAACUUCGGGAAACCGGAGCUAAUACCGGAUAAUAUUUUGAACCGCAUGGUUCAAAAGUGAAAGACGGUCUUGCUGUCACUUAUAGAUGGAUCCGCGCUGCAUUAGCUAGUUGGUAAGGUAACGGCUUACCAAGGCAACGAUGCGUAGCCGACCUGAGAGGGUGAUCGGCCACACUGGAACUGAGACACGGUCCAGACUCCUACGGGAGGCAGCAGUAGGGAAUCUUCCGCAAAGGGCGAAAGCCUGACGGAGCAACGCCGCGUGAGUGAUGAAGGUCUUCGGAUCGUAAAACUCUGUUAUUAGGGAAGAACAUAUGUGUAAGUAACUGUGCACAUCUUGACGGUACCUAAUCAGAAAGCCACGGCUAACUACGUG